GUUUCUAAACGACAAACCUUCUGUUGCAUCUUCUGCUGCACUAUUUGGAUUGAUUAGCACUAUGCUUUCAGCUCUUGUCCAAAACUGGACAACUUACAACAAUAAGUUGACAGCUAUUGCAGUUUUAGUAUCUGUUUCGAUAAUUAAUAUUGUAAUGGGUCUUGCUGCUGUUUUCUUUUGGGAUUUGUGCUGCUGUUUAAACAUCAACUUGGAAAAUGACUCAAGGAAAAUGUGCUUUCUUUGAGUAUGAAGUAAAAUGUUCUGCCAAGUUCAUAUUCGUGGAAUUGUGAGUCUUGGAUCCUUUGUUUACUUUUUCUUUUGUUUUUCUUAUCUGAUUUAGGUUUGUUUGUUGUGUGUAGAAUGAUGGGGACUGUUGUGGCUGUUUGUUGUGGUGUUAAUAUAAGGGAGUAUUGUUGGUGGUGUAAAUAUUUGGAUUAUGUUCCUUCCAAAUGGUGGAGCUGUAAUGGAGAUCAAAUGAAGUGUGAGAUGGGUGUGAGUACAUGGCAAUUGACACUGACUUGCAUGAGUAGUAGUGAUAGUAAAAUACGGUUGUGGGCUGAAGACAAUACUCAAAAUGGGUGGAGCACUAGA